rnacentral:rRNA from 1 species
GACGGGGGGUCCUAGCGUUGUUCGGAAUCAUUGGACGUAAAGCGUGUGCAGGUGGUUCUGUAAGUUAGAUGUGAAAGCCUUGGGCUUAACCCAAGAAGUGCAUUUAAAACUACAAAACUUGAGUAUGGAAGAGGGUCGUGGAAUUCCAGGUGUAGUGGUGAAAUACGUAGAUAUCUGGAGGAACACCGGUGGCGAAGGCGGCGACCUGGUCCUAUACUGACACUCAUACACGAAAGCGUGGGGAUCAAACAGG